UACAGAGGGUGCGAGCGUUGUUCGGAAUCACUGGGCGUAAAGCGCGCGCAGGCGGGCGUGUAAGUCAGAAGUGAAAUUCCGGGGCUCAACCCCGGAGCUGCUCCUGAUACUGCACGUCUGGAGACCGGUAGAGGCUGGUGGAAUUCCCGGUGUAGCGGUGAAAUGCGCAGAUAUCGGGAGGAACACCAGUAGCGAAGGCGGCUCGCUGGGCCACACCUGACGCUGAGACGCGAAAGCUAGGGGAGCGAACAGG
rnacentral:rRNA from 1 species